rnacentral:rRNA from 1 species
UAAGGAAUAUUGGUCAAUGGGCGCAAGCCUGAACCAGCCAUGCCGCGUGCAGGACGACGGCCCUAUGGGUUGUAAACUGCUUUUGUACCGGAAUAAACCUGAUUACGGGUAAUCAGCUGAAUGUACGGUAAGAAUAAGGAUCGGCUAACUCCGUGCCAGCAGCCGCGGUAAUACGGAGGAUCCAAGCGUUAUCCGGAUUUAUUGGGUUUAAAGGGUGCGUAGGCGGCUUAUUAAGUCAGGGGUGAAAGACGGUAGCUUAACUAUCGCAGUGCCUUUGAUACUGAUGAGCUAGAAUGAAGUUGAGGUAGGCGGAAUGUGACAAGUAGCGGUGAAAUGCAUAGAUAUGUCACAGAACACCGAUUGCGAAGGCAGCUUACUAAACUUUUAUUGACGCUGAGGC